AGUGGCAGCUGGGCGCCCGAGAUGCAGGAAUGGCAGGGCGAGUCUGCAAACUUCUGCCCAGCUUUUAUUUACCCUAAGGGGAGAAUCACGCGAUGAGAGCGUCUCUUCUUGAAGGGAGAAAUGAAAAUACCCGGAAAAAAGACCUCUUACCCACCCCAAAGGCUGGAUUUACUCAUCCUGAGGAAAAUUUCUAAACAAACAAACAAAACAAACAAACAUGAUUUCCAGGGUGGAGCUAUCUCUGAGGGUCUUUCUACUAGACUAUGGGUGUGGAAACUGAGGCCCAGAUGGGUUGGAUCCUCCAGUGGUUGAAACACAGGCAGUACCGAAGGGUUGUACCAAACUUGCUGAGAAGGAACCUUGUGUUACAUCGGGCCCACCUGAUAAUCCACGUUAAUCUCCAUCUCAAGACCAGGAAGUUGAGAUUGGUUCAAGAUGGAGGAGUAGAAGGAUAUGUGCUCACUCCUUCAUGCGAGAGCACCGGAAUCACAACUAACUGCUGAACAAUCAUCGACAAGAAGACACU